CAAGAACAACGAGCUAACACAACUAUGUAAGGAUCGGUGGCCAAAGAUGGGGGAUGAAUUGGGACCUUUUCCAAAUUUCUAGAAUAAAGAAAGCAAACCUUAGCCUAGAUUUCUAGUGUUGCCCAAUCUACAAGGUUCAAGCCUAGAAACUAAGCACACUAGCAACAAAAGAACCUAGCAAGGAGAGCACACUAACAUGCUCAUCAUUUCCUUAAGCAAGAUAUGAGCAAAGCAAGCACAACUUGAUCAAG
rnacentral:lncRNA from 1 species